AUCAUACGUAUGUUGACAGUCGGAAGUAAGUUUGCCGUCAGCAAAAUUAUAAUGUGUUCCGAAAUUCCCGCCAAGAAAACUAGCGAUGGAAUCCCGCUGGAUGAUCCGACACUGAAGGGAUUCACGCGGUACUUCAAUGCGUCGACCAUUCGUGGGAGAGCGAAUGUAUCAAAAGCAACCAUAGCCGGAAUGUUCAUAGGAUGGAUCUAUUUCAAAUUUUUGAGGUGCGAUAAAAAAGAAAUGCCAAAGAAAGUUUAACUAAUGCAUACCCUUGUAAAACCAAGAACGUCAAAAUAAAUCUGCAAACAUA